GUCUGAGUCAGAGAUGCAUCCUCGGAGGAAUAAACGCCAAAAUUCCCUCCUUGGCCGCUCUCACACCCCCAACCUCCGGCUUCUUCCUCACGACCGUCGAUGCUGUCAGCAUAUGUGUUCUUUAUGAAUCUCUAACAGCACAUUUUCGGCCUAAACUGCGCGAAAAGCCGGGGACACCCGCCGGAUCUCACACGCAGAAGAACUACCUGAGGGGCGGGGAAGAGGGGAGCAAGAAAGCGGCAAUUUUUUGCAGAUUUGCUCAGGAGGUUUUGACUGAAACUCUCAGUAAGACACUCGAGGCUGAGAAUCUUCCCCGAAGCGUUUAGGACUCAAAGGCAAGUGGGAGAAAGCUUCUUUCCUUAAAGCGAGUGGGACAGCACUCGCUGAAGGCAUUUCUGUUCUGUAGGGAAGGAGACAAGCGGCGAACGAGCCUUGUUUCCCCUCUAGGGAACAGCGCUCGGGGAGCAGGAAUGGCGCGCUUCCGUCCAGACCAGCGGGCGCUGCCAAAGCCAGGAGCUCGCUCAGCCUUUCAGGGCAGACACAGCUCCGCCAUUCGUAAGGAGCUCCCUUCCUACCACCCUAUCUCCUCCCAGCUCCCGCUGUACCCGUACGCCGCCCUGCCUCCCCUGCCUGGCUUCAGCCCCUCCAGCGAUACGGCUGAUGGAGGGAGGGGAGGCGGCGGCUGGGGUUUCGUUCGACGCCCACCAGGGGCUGAGCGAGCCUCCUUCAGUGCGCAAACUCGGGGCACCAGAUAAAAGCUGGGCUGGCAGCUCUUACCCUGCCUCGAUGGAGCCACCACAUUCGGGUGACUGGAGAAGCAGUUAGCAGCAGCGCCAUAGACUAGCGUCCCCCCACACCUUGGGCACAGAGAGUUUGAGGCUCUAAACAGCUGCUGCUGCGGCAGGAGGGAGCCGAGGGCGCUUGGCUGGGGCUGCUCGCUCGGGUUCUGCCUGUUGUUGCGCGAAAUGGCGGCUGGCGUCUUGGUGAAAGUACACUAAAGGAAGACUUGCUGAAAUCUGAAGAGGGAAACGGGCUCAGUGACUCAAACUCCAGUGGUUCCAGAAUUUGUAAUGUAGACAGGAUAAGGAUUUUUUCUGUUCAGUUAGUGCUGUGCUUUAUUUGCUGGUUUCUCAGGGGAAAAGACUCAACAUGUUGAAUCACAGAGACGUUACUUCCUGCUGUUACUUCCUUGCAGCUCUCCCCUCCAUGGCUGGAGGAGCUGUUUUUGCAUAGUGCGUGUUCUAAGACAGGAACUUACUGGAGGUGAAGACAGAAGCCAACCAGUUCUGUGCUGAAUGUAAUAGUUUCUGACUCAAAUUGUGUGGUAAUUGUCAAAAUAUCUUAGGGUGUGGUAGGAUCUGCUGUGUCAAACAUGGCUGAUGAUUUAUUCCCACAUAAUUUGACUAGAUGAGUAUAAUCUGAAUUAACAUAUGAAAUGGGGAAAAAGAUUCCUUGAUGUUUUCUAGCCACUUGAAACCUGAUUGUGUGCAAAAAUAAAUUUCAGUAUGCUUGAGUAUUUAUGGGUUUUUUUCCCACUUGCUCAAACUUAACUCCCAUUCUUUCUGAUUUCCCACAGAAAGAAAGAAAAGCUACUUGCUAUAGCUUCAAAAAUACUAAUAGAAAACUGAGCACUGGAAAUAUGAUAGAGCUUCAAGUUACUAUCAGUUUCACUAGCAAUUAAAAACAUGUAAUCCUAGAGGUUACAGUAGUAAAUUGAUACCAAUUAUUUUGACAUAUAUACUUACUUCAUACAGCUGGCUUUCCUUCUAGAAGAUAAGUAUUCCUAGCAGCUUGUUACAGUACUGAGUUUGUGUCAAGUAUAAGAUUGGCACAUUUACUAUGAAGACAAACUUUCAGAGAAUUCAUAUGAAUUCUACUUCUUCAGCAGUUCUUUGUGAUAAACAAGGGCUUGCAGCUCCAAGAGGCAAACAGGAAAGGGAUGGAGGGGUGGUAGUCAAAUUUUCAGGCAGAUCAACUCCAGCUGGAGUUAAGUUUUCUCAGUGUGGAAUAGUGUUAAACAGUGUAGCACUCCUCUAUCCUCUUUUUUCAGAAAUUACUUCAGAUCUGCUUUUUACCUGGAGUGCUAGAGGAGAGUUCUGGAUGAAGCCAUUUUUUUACUCUCUUGUAUUUUAACCUCUACUGUACAUUGUCCAGUCAUUGUUCAGCAAACAGUUCCUUUUGGUGGACUGUUCUCUGGUGCUAUUUGGAGAAAAGGGAAGGAGUUGAUCUCUAGAUGAGUAUCUGAAAUACAGGACUUCAAAGGACUGCCUGAAGUUGUUAAACCUAGUGACUUAGAGCAUCUAGAAAAGCCACUUUGCAGGAUAAUCCCUUAUUAUUAUACAUUCCCAGCAUAUUCCAUGAUAAUGUUUGCAUUUUUGUCUCUGGGCAAAAACUAAGCACUAUCAGAAGUGCAACUUCUGACAUAAUUUUAAAUAAGUGAAUCUUCUAUCUCUAGAUGCAAUUUUUGCUGGA